rnacentral:tRNA from 1 species
GCGCCCAUAGCUCAAUUGGUUAGAGCACCAAGCUUAGACCUUGGCGGUUUGGGGUUCGAGUCCCUGUGGGCGCA